AUUGAACGCUGGCUGCCGGCCUUACACAUGCAAGUCUGCCGAGCGGCGGACGGGUGAGUAACGCAUGGGAAUCUACCAGAUAGUGGGGGAUAACUACUCGAAACGAUGGCUAAUACCGCCUACUAUCCGCUGCGCCCAUGUUGGAUUAGCUAGUUGGUGGGGUAAAGUCUCACCUAGGCGACGAUCACUAGCUGGUCUGAGCGGAUGCUCAGACAUACUGGAACUGAGACACGGGCCAGACUCCUACGGGAGGCAGCAGUGGGGAAUAUUGCACAAUGGGCGCAAGCCUGAUGCAGCCAUGCCGCGUGUAUGAAGAAGGCCUUCGGGUUGUAAAGGACUUUCGGCAGGGAAGCGGUACCUGCAGAAUAAGCACCGGCGAACUGCGUGCCAGCAGCCGCGGUAAUAC
rnacentral:rRNA from 1 species